UACGUAGGGUGCGAGCGUUAAUCGGAAUUACUGGGCGUAAAGCGUGCGCAGGCGGUAAUGCAAGACAGAUGUGAAAUCCCCGGGCUUAACCUGGGAACUGCAUUUGUGACUGCAUUGCUGGAGUGCGGCAGAGGGGAUGGAAUUCCGCGUGUAGCAGUGAAAUGCGUAGAUAUGCGGAGGAACACCGAUGGCGAAGGCAAUCCCCUGGGCCUGCACUGACGCUCAUGCACGAAAGCGUGGGGAGCAAACAGG
rnacentral:rRNA from 1 species